rnacentral:rRNA from 1 species
AGCGAACGCUGGCGGCAGGCCUAACACAUGCAAGUCGAACGAACCCUUCGGGGUUAGUGGCGGACGGGUGAGUAACACGUGGGAACGUGCCCUUUGGUUCGGAAUAACUCAGGGAAACUUGAGCUAAUACCGGAUGUGCCCUUCGGGGGAAAGAUUUAUCGCCAUUGGAGCGGCCCGCGUCGGAUUAGCUAGUUGGUGGGGUAAAGGCCCACCAAGGCGACGAUCCGUAGCUGGUCUGAGAGGAUGAUCAGCCACACUGGGACUGAGACACGGCCCAGACUCCUACGGGAGGCAGCAGUGGGGAAUCUUGCGCAAUGGGCGAAAGCCUGACGCAGCCAUGCCGCGUGAAUGAUGAAGGUCUUAGGAUUGUAAAAUUCUUUCACCGGGGACGAUAAUGACGGUACCCGGAGAAGAAGCCCCGGCUAACUUCGUGCCAGCCGCCGCGGUAAGAC